GCCUUCGUGGUGUAGUGGUCAGCAUGCUGGACGCGUAUUCGAGAGGUUCGUGGUUCGAAUCCCAGUGAGGGCA
rnacentral:tRNA from 1 species